rnacentral:tRNA from 1 species
GGGGAUGUGGUCUAAUGGUAAGAUUCUGUUCAGAUGCAUCGGCCAAAGGCCACUCGCGUUGGGGCAGAGACGUCGGUUCGAUUCCGGACUUCUCCA